CAAGUCCCCCUGUUGGAGUAUACAUUGUUUACAACACUUGUCUCAGUCAUUCCCAGGACUGAUUUUUCAGUCUUCAAAUAUUUGCCUUCAAAAGCUUCCGGCCCAUCUUCUGAGGAUGUUUUCUAUGUUCUCUGAAAAUUUCACCCAGUUAUUGUCUGAAGAUUACUGGCAAUGAAUUUUGUUUUCAGUGCAGUGGCACGGUGCUGAAAUGCCCAUGCUAAUGAGUUACCUCAUCAGCUCAGUGGACCAGGGAAACUGGUGCCUUCUUCAACUGAGCCUGAAUGAAGAAUUGCAGAGUGCUUGCUGGUGAUGUCUCUGCUAGAAACUCCUCACCCAGCCUGUCAGGAAAAGCUGGCUUUUGCUACUGUUUUCUGGAGUGCUAAUCUACACAUAAUAUUCAUUGACCUUUGUAGUAAAAUCUACCAGUAGUCAUAUGUGGCAGAUACUUUGUGUUCAACCAGCUAUUAAUUAAUCUAGCUAGAAGUUUUCUUUGUGCACCACUUUCUGGCCUGGGUUCCUAAUGCAUCAUCAUAAGCUGGGAUAACAGAUUUUACAGGUAAAGUCUCAGACUUGAAGCUAGAUUCAUGAUCUUUGUAUGGGGCUUUUAGUUAUUUUACUGCAUGUCUUGUUAAUCUUUGGCAGGAUUCUUCAAGGAUGGAGCAAUGUGUGACAUUUCCUGGGAGUGUGUACAGCUGAUGGUACAGCUGAUGGUACAGCUGAUGGUACAGAACUGGACUGGAAGGAGAGAUUCCAGGGAAGGGAUAAGACAACUCCACAACACAGUGCUUUGCAGCUUUCCAAGUGCCUUGCAGGUAAACUAGACCUGGAGUGAUGAAGAGGCUUUGACAAAACCAAGGGACAAGUCUGUGGCAGAACUAGACCAGUACCUAUAAUUUUGCAGACUUCCAGUCAGACAUCUCAGUGCUUUAGAAAGUAGGUGAAUAUCACCAACCUUGUGUGAUCAUUUCAGAAGCUACGCAAAUGCACAAGCCCUGAGACAUCUGAGGUCAUUCAACAGAUUAAGGAAACCAGCAAAUCAGUUCAGUGCAGCAGCAUGAACAAGUGAUGAGGCAGAUGAUAAAACAAGCUUUGAUUUACUGAAUUAAAAUGUAUGAUUUAGAUGCAGCUUUGCCUAAUGCUCUUCUGGAAACCAUGUGUUGUCUAAUGAAGGGUUUCCUCUUAGCGUGGGCUCCUUUCCAACUCUGAAGGGACACAUUUCUGGCACUAGAGGAAAACUAUGAAUGCAUUAUUUUCUUUGAGUUUCUCAAUUACAAAAUAAGGAUUCCAGUGUUACUGUACCUGAUAUUUCUGUCAUCAAAGCAGAUACUCUUAACCUCCUGCAAGACAAAGGCCUCUCCAGAACCUUUCCUAGACACCUGCUGAAAUGCUGAACUGGGCUUUUGCAACUAAGAUAAGGAACUGGCAAGACAGCAGUAUUACUGACCAGGCCUAUUUUAUUUGUGGCCUGACCACAGAGGCAGAACAUGCUGUCAAAG
rnacentral:lncRNA from 1 species